rnacentral:lncRNA from 1 species
AAAAAGGUAGCUUCCUUACAUAAAACCUGCACCGAUAAUAAAAAGAAAAAAAACAGAUUCAUUUGAUGUCAAUUCAAAGGGAAAACAAUCACGUAUGAAAGGAGCGGCAACUCUUCCUCAAAAUAAGAAAUUAGGAAAGAAAAUCCCCCUCGACUCCUGUACAUGCCCACUUACUCCUGUAUAAAAAGGAUUAACAUGACUCUCUAGAGCUGUAGAUUGCCAUUACGUGUUUGCAUAUUUUUUAUCCUAAUAUGAAGAGAAAAAUAAUUGCCAUUAAAACAUCAUUAUAUUUAUGUACAUUGCUGAUUAAUACAAAAAAAUUGAUUGUAUUAUGCGCCAAUAAUAUCUCAUAUCAACAGUACAGUUUUUCUACAGCCACUACUUUCCCUCUCAUAUACUACAUAGCAAGGAAAAAACAAAGAUUGCAUAACAGGAUGUUCGUUGAAUUACAUGAAAGGAACCCGACACCCGGAUUAUUUUUCCCCCAAUUUCUUUCAUGUUUUCUACUGUAUUUCUAAAACAUGUAACAGACUGGACCUGAAUUCUCAUCAAGAUUACAUACAUCUCAACAAUAGGCACAUAAUGAAUACCAUCAAAGCUAAUUGAUAUGUGAUUAAUCAGACAGAAACUAUACAGUGGUAGCCAAAUAUGGGUUUGAGUGUCAUAGUCAUGCACAAAGAUUCAGUUACAUAAAUAAUUGGAUACAUACAAAAGCGUGACUGAUUUGGGAAUACACUAUCUGCACAACAAUGUAAUUAAACGGCGGCUUUGCACAAGAGAAAACCAUCACAGACUCACAAGUAACCCGGCUACCCGUACAGAAACACGCACAUAAGGUCAACUAUAGGAACAACCGAAAAAAAGAACAAGCACAGCGAUAGCUUCAGCAUCUUCUAUGGUACCGAAUGGCUUCCACCAAGACGCGAAAAAAAAGAGGAACCCGGAGUACUGGAAUACCUUCAUCAUCUUACAAGAAGUUAGAUGGCUCCAGUGAGCUGCCAAUCACAUGAUGGGGGAGUGAAACAGCAUCGUAUAUCCCGCUGAGUCGCUGGAGUUACAACCAUACUAGGGUGGUGCUAUUCCACAUCUGCAUGUACAUCUGCCAAAUCAUGGUUACAACGUCAGUUUCUGAUUUUGCCAACAGAAAACACACACAAAAGCAUCACAAAACCGAAAUCUCGACGAGCAGAAGUUCUUAAUUUUGUGGUUUCCAUCACAAAACUGAUGUAGCCUAAGACCAGACGGGACAAAACAGAGAGUUGAGAGAUUUGGAGUAGACCUUCCAAGGCAUCGACAGCUACUAGUCUUGAAUGUGUGCAUGGUGCUGCUGGUCUGUCGGUCUUGCCCCUUGUUGACCCACAUGUGUGUGCACCUGCAUGAGGAAGAGGAAGAAUAACAUAUCAAAUGAACUCGCAUCAGGAAAGGAAAUCAAAGACCUUGACGAGCACUCACUAGGAAAGGGAAAGGAAUGGGUCGGGCCUCUCCUUGACGAGCAGCUCCAUGGCGUGGGUCUCCUCCCUCCAUGGUAUGGUUAUCCAGACGCAGAUCCUGUCCCAGCAUGGAUCUGGCCGCUGCCAUGGCCUGCCUUCUGGAUCCGCGUCUCCUCGCCUCUCCUGAUGACCAGAUGCAAACCACACCAUCGAUGUUGAUCUGCCGCCACCUCGUUUGGGUGCGCGCCAGAUCGGAUGCCUCACCGUCGUCGAGGUGCCAUGAGAAGGUGCCGAAGUUGGGACGAUGGCGGCUGGAACAUGUGGAUUGGGAUUGGAUGGGGUGAUUGGGAAUGACCGGGAGAGAUGGAGGCGGUUGCACUAACUUGCUAGGGUUUCGG